GUGUCAGCCGCCGCGGUAAUACGAAGGGGGCUAGCGUUGUUCGGAUUUACUGGGCGUAAAGCGCGUGUAGGCGGGUCGUUAAGUUGGGGGUGAAAUCCCGGAGCUCAACUCCGGAACUGCCUUCAAAACUGGCGACCUGGACCUAAGUAGAGGCAAGUGGAAUUGCGAGUGUAGAGGUGAAAUUCGUAGAUAUUCGCAGGAACACCAGUGGCGAAGGCGACUUGCUGGACUUAUGGUGACGCUGAGACGCGAAAGCGUGGGGAGCAAACAGGAUUAGAUACCCCAGUAGUCC
rnacentral:rRNA from 1 species